rnacentral:misc_RNA from 1 species
AAUUUUUUGUGCUAUCAGUUAUGCUUUUGUGAGAUCUGUGAUGGGUUAUGAUGGUGUUUUUGCAUUUUAGUGGAUUUAAGGAUUUGGAUUUUUUUUUUUAAUUGUUAUUAGCUUUGGAGGUUUGUUGCUUGUAGCAAUGGGUUGAAUUUGUUUGGAGUUAGUUCUGAAGUUGGUUUUGGAAAGAAUAGUUGCUUGUAUGUGAAGUGAAGGAUGCUAUAUGGUUCUGUGGAUUUUUUUUUUUUGUAUCUAUGUGACUAAAUCUUUGGGGAACUAUAGUUGAUGAUGCUAGUUGGCUUGUGUGUAGCGUUAUGAUUUUGUGAUUGUGUGUCCUUUGCAUUGUUUCUGACCUUAGAUAAAUUUAUGCCCAAAUCCUUUCCAUCAUAUGCUGAUUCUUCCUAAAACCCAAUUGCUGACUGUCGCAUUUCUUUAUGCUCGAGAAGUGAUGGUUUUGGUUGGCAUCUUCCUUUGUUGAUGCUGAUCUUGAGUGGACAUCAAAGGAGACAGAA